ensembl:snRNA
AUUGCGCUUCUGUCCAGUGAGCACAUAAUGAGGGCAACUGAGGGCAAUACUGCUAACCCCAAACACAACACACCCACAUCAACUAGAGCUUUGUUUUACCUUGAUGCAAGUUUUGGAAAA